GACGAACGCUGGCGGCGUGCUUAACACAUGCAAGUCGAACGGAAAGGCCCUGCUUUUGUGGGGUGCUCGAGUGGCGAACGGGUGAGUAACACGUGAGUAACCUGCCCUUGACUUUGGGAUAACUCCAGGAAACUGGGGCUAAUACCGGAUAGGAGCUCCUGCUGCAUGGUGGGGGUUGGAAAGUUUCGGCGGUUGGGGAUGGACUCGCGGCUUAUCAGCUUGUUGGUGGGGUAGUGGCUUACCAAGGCUUUGACGGGUAGCCGGCCUGAGAGGGUGACCGGCCACAUUGGGACUGAGAUACGGCACAGACUCCUACGGGAGGCAGCAGUGGGGAAUAUUGCACAAUGGGCGGAAGCCUGAUGCAGCAACGCCGCGUGCGGGAUGACGGCCUUCGGGUUGUAAACCGCUUUCGCCUGUGACGAAGCGUGAGUGACGGUAAUGGGUAAAGAAGCACCGGCUAACUACGUG
rnacentral:rRNA from 1 species